AUGGGGAUAGCUCAGUUGGGAGAGCAUCAGACUGAAUAUCUGAAGGUCGUGUGUUUGAUCCACACUCACCGCA
rnacentral:tRNA from 1 species